GACGAACGCUGGCGGCGUGCCUAAUACAUGCAAGUAGAACGCUGAAGGAGGAGCUUGCUCUUCUGGAUGAGUUGCGAACGGGUGAGUAACGCGUAGGUAACCUGCCUGGUAGCGGGGGAUAACUAUUGGAAACGAUAGCUAAUACCGCAUAAGAGUAGAUGUUGCAUGACAUUUGCUUAAAAGGUGCAAUUGCAUCACUACCAGAUGGACCUGCGUUGUAUUAGCUAGUUGGUGGGGUAACGGCUCACCAAGGCGACGAUACAUAGCCGACCUGUGAGGGUGAUCGGCCACACUGGGACUGAGACACGGCCCAGACUCCUACGGGAGGCAGCAGUAGGGAAUCUUCGGCAAUGGACGGAAGUCUGACCGAGCAACGCCGCGUGAGUGAAGAAGGUUUUCGGAUCGUAAAGCUCUGUUGUAAGAGAAGAACGAGUGUGAGAGUGGAAAGUUCACACUGUGACGGUAUCUUACCAGAAAGGGACGGCUAACUACGUGCCAGCAGCCGCGGUAAUACGUAGGUCCCGAGCGUUGUCCGGAUUUAUUGGGCGUAAAGCGAGCGCAGGCGGUUAGAUAAGUCUGAAGUUAAAGGCUGUGGCUUAACCAUAGUACGCUUUGGAAACUGUUUAACUUGAGUGCAAGAGGGGAGAGUGGAAUUCCAUGUGUAGCGGUGAAAUGCGUAGAUAUAUGGAGGAACACCGGUGGCGAAAGCGGCUCUCUGGCUUGUAACUGACGCUGAGGCUCGAAAGCGUGGGGAGCAAACAGG
rnacentral:rRNA from 1 species